rnacentral:pre_miRNA from 1 species
UUAGUAAUUAGCUGUGAAGAUGAAUGGCUUGAGUUUCUUUCACAGCUGAUUACUAAUU